UUCUGUGAGGGCACUCAUUUACACGCAUCAUAUUCGACCGCCUUGAGCUGUUGGUUAAACUGCCCUGUGUUUUUCACCUUGGUAAUACAAAUAUGCAGCACACUUGUCCUGCAACAAAAGAGGAAAACAGCAGUGAGUCCGCGGCGGCGAUGCGACGGGAAGUCGAGCAGAUUGUCAUGAAACAAGACUGUUGACUACUGACUAGAUCAAUGUGCUCAUGUGCAGUUCAGCUUCCCGUGCAGUGAAAUUGGCAAGCAAUGGCAGCAUGCCACUCAGACAGAGAAACAAACAUGCCACAUACUGAAUUUUAGCUGACAUUUUACUGGUUAUUAUUAUGCCUUAUCACAAACGAACUCAAAAUGCUACUAGUGGUUGCUGCUUUGACACUAACUCCUAAGGAAAAUCCUGUUGGGAGUCAAAUCAGCUAGAGCUAGGGAUCAGUUAAGUGGAGGGGAGGCAGGCCUAGGUUGCCAUAGGGGAGUGAAUCCAUGGUGAUUCAGCAGCUCGGGAGCGGGGAGAAGAGAGGGAGGGGCAUACCUCCGGUCGGAGCUCUUCGGCGGAAGGGAGCCGCGCACGUCCUGCCGGCGAGGCCGUCUUCUUCCCAGCGGCCGGCGGCGGCCGCGACUCCCCCCCCUCCAGCGGCGGUCCG
rnacentral:lncRNA from 1 species